rnacentral:rRNA from 1 species
UACGUAGGGUGCAAGCGUUGUCCGGAAUUAUUGGGCGUAAAGAGCUCGUAGGCGGUUUGUUGCGUCGGCUGUGAAAUCCCGAGGCUCAACCUCGGGUCUGCAGUCGAUACGGGCGGACUGGAGUUCGGCAGGGGAGACUGGAAUUCCUGGUGUAGCGGUGAAAUGCGCAGAUAUCAGGAGGAACACCGGUGGCGAAGGCGGGUCUCUGGGCCGAUCCUGACGCUGAGGAGUGAAAGCGUGGGGAGCGAACAGG